CUACUUGGGAGACUGAAGCGGGAGAAUGGCGUGACCCCGGGAGGCGGAGCUUGCAGUGAGCCGAGAUCGCGCCACUGCAGUCCAGCCUGGGCAACAGAGUGAGACUCUGUCUCAAAAAAAAAAAAAAAAAAAAAAAAAAAAUCACAUAACUGUAUGGUUGAAUAUCCAUUGUGUUCUUUACAAAGUAUGUCAUUCUUUCUGUAACAUCCGUGGUGGAAUAUAACCUUAGUAUUACACAACCACCAUCAGCAGCAGCAGCAUUUGAGAGCUUAGCAGAAAUGUAGAAUGUCGGGCUCCAUCUCGGACCUACUGAAUCAAAAUCUGCAUUUUAGCAAGAUCUCCAGGUGAUAUACAGGAUCAUUAAAGUUAGAGAAGUCCUGGUAUACAGGAUAAGUCUUACCAAUUGCUGUAUAGACCUAUGUUCACUUCAUGGAUAACAUUUGCUCUAGAAAAGAAAAAUUAACCAGUAGAGAGGGCCAGCAACUGUUCAUACCCUAGAGCUGUGAUUGGCCACCUAAUAGUGUCUAAAAUUAUGAUGCUGACAAUGACACUGCUGCUGCUGUGGAUAACACCCAUUAUCAGGUGUUUCCAAGUGUUAGCCAUUUUGUCUAAUAUGUCAACUAAUCUGUUUAACUAUCAUCUACCUCCUGAGUUUUAUGCUCUUUUACAGACAAGACAAUUGAGGCAACAGGUUGCCUAGGAUCACCACCCCCUUGUAAAUACAAGCAUUCUGAUGGCUAGCCUCAGGUAUGCCCAAGGUAGAGUCUGUGACUGGGAGCUGAACUUUUUAAAAGUAAGACAGACUAUUUGUUUCAAAUAGGAAGAAACUAUGACACUUGAAAGCUUCCUAUGAAGUUGUCAAUUGAAAUUUGUUUAGAUAAUAUUUGUAAUGAGCAAUGUGUUCUCCAAUUUGCAUAUUUGAAAAGAUAAGGAAAGCCUUCUGUUUUAAGCUCAUAUCACAUGUUCAGGCUAUCAGAUCACAAUUUAUUGUGUAUUAUGUGCCAUGUGGCAUCUUAAGCCCCAUUAGAGGCCCUUAGCCCUGGGCAUUCUACUGGCAUCUAAAGGAUGCCUUGAGAGUGAGCUGCUUUUCUGAGGACAAAUAUUUGUACAUUUGUAACAUGGGGAAAGGACUCCUUACUUGAAAUGGCUUUAGAAUUGUAGAGAACAUAGAAAUGCGGUUUGUCUCUUGUGUGCUAAAUUAAAUCCUUUUAAAGGAAGACAUCCUUUGAGAAAGGAGAUGCAGGAAUACCAACAUUUUGAUGUUUAUUGGGUGACAAAAAUCAACUCAAUCAACAAAUGGUUUUGAAAAUAACAUUGAAAUGUGAAUUGGAAGCAAAAGGUAGUGAGGUCAUGUUAUGGUGCAGAAAAACAAUGCUGUGUGUACUGCUGAUCAACUAGGUAGGCAUUAGCGGGUGGAUCAUGGCCACUAGCAUGGGAAAGGGAAGAGUUUUUAUAAAUGAACUAGAAUAGACUGCAUAUUCAAGUAGGAAUAAUGACUCUUUUUAAAAAUUAUUACAUUUGUUCCUGGUUUAAAAGGAGAGCUACAUAUAUAACAUAAAUUUAUACAACCUCAAAGGAUAUACUGUGAAGAUUAGUUUCUUCUCCUCUUCUGUCCCCAGACCCAAGUUUCCCUACUGACACAACCAGUGUGUGCAGCUCCUUGUAUAUUUUUCAGAAAUAUCCUCCAAAUACCUCAUAAAGAGUUAUGAAAUAUCUUCAUAAAUAAACAGUAUAUGCAAAAGCCUUGUUAAACAAAAGGGUAAUAUACCAGGGGCCCCUAAUCCCCUGGCCACAAACCAGAGCACAGGUCUGUAACCUGUUAGGAACCAGGCUGCACAGCAGGAAGUGUGUGGCCUGCAAGUGAGAGAAGCUUCAUCUGUAUUUACAGCCAGUCAAAAUCACUUGCAUUACAACCUGAGCUUCGCCUCCUGUCAGAUCAGUGGUGGCGUUAGAUUCUCAUAGCAGUGCGAACCCUGUUGUGAACUGUGCAUGCGAGUGAUCUGGGUUGUGCACUCCUUAUGAGAAUCUAAUGCCUGAUGAUCUGUCACUGUCCCCAUCACCCUCAGAUGGGUCCAUCUAGUUGCAGGAAAACAAGCUCAGGGCUCCCACUGAUUCUACGGAAGCUAUUUAUUACUAUUAUUAUUGUUGUUGUUAUUACUGAUUUGAGUGAGAAAGCUAGGAUAGGAAUUCACCCAAGAUGCUUGUCUUUGGAUCCCUUGCUCUUGUUUGCUACACUGUACUGUUUCUUGGUGAUUCUGUUGCUACUUUGGCAAUGAGAGUGCAUUUAUUGGAUAUCUACCAUGUGCUAAGCAGAUGACAUGUGUUAGUCACAGUCUUCAUAAUAGCACCAUGAGAUGUUGUUGUUGUUGUUGUUGAACAGAUUCUUGGUAAGGUUUACUAACUUGCCCAAAGUCCCAGAGCUAGUAAGCAAGGAGCUAGGAAUGGCCUGGAAGCAGGAUGUCUGACUCUUGUGACUCACGACAGAGAAGGGAGUUUCAGGUAUUGAUUCUACAUCUAACAGGCUGGAAGGCAGAAAUAAAACUAAUAUACAUAUGAGGCUUAAUUAAACGUAUUGAAGUGAUAAGAGGGAUAGGAAGGGCUGUCACAAGGACCAACGGAAGACAGUUGGUGGGGCACAAAGAUAAAAAGCAUCUGUAGCAGAGAGGAGCCGUGUGGAUCCAGAAUGCACUCUUCUCUAUGGAGAAUGUUUCCAAAUCUAGAUUGCUUUGUUCUCACCAACUGCUUCAACCGUUAAAACAUUCCACACCUGUACAUUGCAUGUAUACCUUCAACAACCCAUUGUCAUUAGAAUGGCAGCAAUGAGAAUGGAACAUGUGGUGCUUGCAUGUCCUAGAGAAAGAACAGCCUUAGGUGACUGCUCCGAGUUGGACUUUGUGGCCACAGGGAGCAGAAAUCAGCAAGUGCCCCACAUUAGAAAAUAAAAGUAAGAGUGCUAAGAAAAGUAAGAGUGCUGAGAUUCUUCAAGGCAAUGCCAAUUUCUCCAGGUCAGCUUCUCCUAUUUUAAUCUGUUUCCAGCAGUUCUGCAUCUUUGUAGGUAUGCCAUAAGCAGCCAUAAAAAAGGCAAAAUUGUACGAUCUACAGGUCUAGUAAAAUUAUAAGUCAUGUAGGUCUUAUAGAAAUUAUAAUUUUAACUGAAG
rnacentral:lncRNA from 10 species